AUCUGAGUUAGAAGAAAUGAACAAAAAAAUAUCUUCAAGGCUCUCUAAAAUAUCAGUAUGUUUGUGAGAGAGGGAGAUAGAUCGAAGGAAAUAUAAGAGCAACGAAAUUAAAAAUAUACAUUUAAAUUGUUAUUGUUAACGUUAAUUAGUUUUGUGAUUAAUAGUUUGGUGAGAUGCGUUUAUCUUGAACUGGUUUCCAAAGCCUUUCAGAUGAAUUAAAAUGUAAUCUAAUUCGCCUAACUAAUCUAUCUUGAAGUUGUUGUCAUAGCAAAGUAGAGUUUGGAGAGAAGAGUGGAUUCAAAGAUUCUAAAGAUUGUCUCAAUCCUCACCUAAAGAAAGGCCCAUAGAAACAAAAAAAUUGUGCAAGCACCAUCUUACUAGUUACAUUUAUACUUCAACACUUUUAGAAGCAUACUUCAUUUCAUUUUCACUGUCCACAUUGUUUCCUACUUGUAUACACCAAAGUAUAUAUUCUAUCCUUUUAUAUUUUCUAACCAUGGAUUAUAACGUUUUAAGAAUUUGUUUGCUUCCUAAACACAACUUUUUAGUUAUUCAAAAUUAUGAUCAAAAGUGAAUUUUAUGUUUUGUGCAUGUUCCAGUAAAACCAUGGGUAUGAAUGGUAACCAGGAAAUGGCGAGGAAUAAUACAUUCUCUAACGUUCAUGAAUAAAAUCACCAUUCACAAGGAAUAAUAAUUCCCUCUCAUUCAUUUUCAUUCUUUUUUUGUAGUUAAUUAAAGAACAAAAGUAUUCCUUGUUAAAAUUGAUAAGGAACAAACGUUCCUUUGUGAAAGCACCAUGGCCUAAUGGUCAAGAUUUAAAGGCUUCUACACUCAGGUCUGGGGUUCAAAUCCCAGACAAUGCAAUUUCUACAGGAAGAGGUCUGGGUUUCAAUUCCCGGAAAGGCGAAUUAUGCAGAAAAUUAGAAAAAAUGCUUACAACAGAUCUUAGUAUGGCUCAAGGAGUACCGUCAAUAAUGGAUCUCGUAGGGCUACUCAGGGUGAUGCAGUCAGGCGUGAAUCCUCAUAAGACAGGUAGAAUUGUCGGCUAUAAUAUCGUCUAUAUAAUGGUUCUCAUAAUUUGUAAUAGCAUAAUUAACCAGACAAAAAAAAAGGAACAAACGUUCCUUUUCAUUCCUGCUAUUUUAUUCCCGAACAUUCAUUUUUUAUAUGUUCCUUUUGUUUCCCGAAUGGUCACCAGUCAAACCCCAUGUCUCAGUAUCAUUCACGUAUUCAAAAUAAGUUUAUAGAUAAUGCAGAGUAGUAACUUAACAAAAUUCGAUCGUGGAUUGAUUUGUAUGCAUGAUAAAUACCUUUUUUUGGUUUAGAGUAUGCUUAAUGGCAGGAAGCCUCAGGUUUUGCAUUUUUUUAUUGAGAUUAGAUUAGUGAUUAGUCACAUCCCCUGUUCGGAACUAUAAUUAGUAGUAGUCGAGCGGCAAUUCUUGACCUAGCGAGUUACAGAAAAAUUAGGGAGUACUAGGAAAAUACGCGGAGUCUAAUUUUAAAUACAAUUUAAUAUACUUAUAAUAUGUUUAGCUAAUUUUAAACAUGAUGAAACAAGUUCUUAGAUAUAACUGUAUAACUUUUUAUAUAUAUUUUUAAACAGCCUCAUUUUGAUUUGUCGAACAUUUAGAUUACGGUGUGUUUGGUACAAAAAAAAUUCCUAAAUUUAGUAUGUAUGUGUUUAUUUUGGGUUUGAUAGCUAAUUGUAAUUAUUUAGUAAUUAAUAAUUACACAAAAUCUGUCAAUAAUGAGUAAAAAAUAAUCAAUUGUGUUUCAACUUUACACGGACAAAAAAAAUUUAGACGGUCAACUCAGAAAUUAGGCGGGAAUUAAGCGGUCAACACGGAAAUUAAGCGGUCGUACGCGGAUCAACACCUUGCUUUACCGAUUUGUCAUAUUCACUGUGGUUAACGUCUGAACAGCGUCUAGACGGUCGCGUUUUCGAACAGGUCACACCAACACUUUAACUAUUUAAGACUAGACUAAUCUUUCGUUUCUGUAACAAUCAGUGCGUCUACCGCGUGUUGACGGUGAAGCAUCCUUGUUCGUUAAGAGAAACAUAAACAUAUAUUUUUCACUUGAAAAGGUGAUGGAAAAUAAGAGGACAAGUAUGAUCAACUCAAAAUGAUGCAUGAAGCUUUCUCUUUGAGAAAAGUAAAGGCUAACAAAGCUUCUGAUGGCUUGUGUACCGCCGUCUUAUUGAAGUAUAUCGCGCGCGCACACGCGCACACACACAAAAGGAGAGCAUAAUCUCAAUACAAGAUUGCAAGUGAUUUAGUGUGAUGAAGGGCUAAGAACUCCUUUUAAAAAAGGUUAAAUGGGUGAUUGAGAACAUAAAGCCUGUUUUGAAAGCCAUCUAAUUAUAUAAAGAAUUGUUUGAGUCUCUCCCGCAUUGUCCACGUGGAAAGUCUUUUGUUAUAGACUUGACGCGUGUCCAUAAGACAAACCGCAUCAUUUCAUUAAACUUCAGCAUUCUCGGUUUUGUUCUUUAGUGUGUUCAUGGGCUUUGAGAUUAGAAGUGUUUCCGGCCCAACGAUAAUAAGCUCCGUCUAUCCCUAAUACGACUGCAGCGAGAAAACAAAAUUCAUCGCUCCUCUUCGUGCGACGGCUAGGGUGACUUUUUCGAUUCUUCUCCCGACCUGCAACGGUUUGAUUAAUGGCUUCGUGUUAAAUCCUAUUGACUCUCCUCCACGAUUCGUCAUCAAUGCUUUGCUUAGAUCUGAAAGGCGGUGUGUAAACAGUAUAAAUAGAUGUGAGUAUUUCUCUUCUUGAACUCAUCUUCACUUCUUAUAUC